GAACGCUGGCGGCGUGCUUAACACAUGCAAGUCGAACGAUGAUGCUUCCAGCUUGCUGGGAGCGGAUUAGUGGCGAACGGGUGAGUAUCACGUGAGCAACCUGCCCUUGACUUCGGGAUAAGCCCGGGAAACUGGGUCUAAUACCGGAUAUGACCAUCGCCCGCAUGGGUGGUGGUGGAAAGCUUUAUGCGGUCUUGGAUGGGCUCGCGGCCUAUCAGCUAGACGGUGAGGUAGUGGCUCACCGUGGCUUUGACGGGUAGCCGGCCUGAGAGGGUGACCGGCCACACUGGGACUGAGACACGGCCCAGACUCCUACGGGAGGCAGCAGUGGGGAAUAUUGCACAAUGGGCGAAAGCCUGAUGCAGCGACGCCGCGUGCGGGAUGACGGCCUUCGGGUUGUAAACCGCUUUCAGCAGGGAAGAAGCUUUUUGUGACGGUACCUGCAGAAGAAGCGCCGGCUAACUCCGUGCCAGCACCCGCGGUAAUACGUAGGGGGCGAGCGUUAUCCGGAAUUAUUGGGCGUAAAGAGCUCGUAGGCGGUUUGCCGCGUCUGCCGUGAAAAAUCCGGGCUUAACCCGGAUCGUGCGGUGGGUACGGGCAGACUAGAGUGCAGUAGGGGAGACCGGAAUUCCUGGUGUAGCGGUGAAAUGCGCAGAUAUCAGGAGGAACACCGAUGGCGAAGGCAGGUCUCUGGGCUGUUACUGACGCUGAGGAGCGAAAGCAUGGGGAGCGAACAGGAUUAGAUACCCUGGUAGUCCAUGCCGUAAACGUUGGGCACUAGGUGUGGGGAACAUUCCACGUUUUCCGCGCCGUAGCUAACGCAUUAAGUGCCCCGCCUGGGGAGUACGCCGCAAGGCUAAAACUCAAAGGAAUUGACGGGGGCCCGCACAAGCGGCGGAGCAUGCGGAUUAAUUCGAUGCAACGCGAAGAACCUUACCAAGGCUUGACAUGGACCGGAUCGCCAUAGAGAUAUGGUUUCCCUUCGGGGCUGGUUCACAGGUGGUGCAUGGUUGUCGUCAGCUCGUGUCGUGAGAUGUUGGGUUAAGUCCCGCAACGAGCGCAACCCUUGUCCUAUGUUGCCAGCGGGUAGUGCCGGGGACUCAUGGGAGACUGCCGGGGUCAACUCGGAGGAAGGUGGGGACGACGUCAAAUCAUCAUCCCCCUUAUGUCUUGGGCUUCACGCAUGCUACAAUGGCCGGUACAGUGGGUUUCGAUUCCGCGAGGUGGAGCUAAUCCCUAAAAACCGGUCUCAGUUCGGAUCGGAGUCUGCAACUCGACUCCGUGAAGUUGGAGUCGCUAGUAAUCGCAGAUCAACAAUGCUCCGGUGAAUACGUUCCCGGGCCUUGUACACACCGCCCGUCAAGUCACGAAAGUUGGUAACAGCCGAAGCCCACGGUCUAACCCUUGUGGGGGAAGUGGUCGAAGGUGGGACCGGCGAUUGGGACUAAGUCGUAACAAGGUAUCC
rnacentral:rRNA from 1 species